AUUGAACGCUGGCGGCAGGCUUAACACAUGCAAGUCGAGCGGAGAUGAGGUGCUUGCACCUUAUCUUAGCGGCGGACGGGUGAGUAAUGCUUAGGAAUCUGCCUAUUAGUGGGGGACAACAUUCCGAAAGGAAUGCUAAUACCGCAUACGCCCUACGGGGGAAAGCAGGGGAUCUUCGGACCUUGCGCUAAUAGAUGAGCCUAAGUCGGAUUAGCUAGUUGGUGGGGUAAAGGCCUACCAAGGCGACGAUCUGUAGCGGGUCUGAGAGGAUGGUCGGCCACACGGGGACGGAGCGACGGCCCAGACUCCUACGGGAGGCAGCAGUGGGGAAUAUUGGACCAUGGGGGGAAGCCUGAUCCAGCCAUGCCGCGUGUGUGAAGAAGGCCUUUUGGUUGUAAAGCACUUUAAGCGAGGAGGAGGCUACCUGGAUUAAUACUCUAGGAUAGUGGACGUUACUCGCAGAAUAAGCACCGGCUAACUCUGUGCCAGCAGCCGCCGUAACAC
rnacentral:rRNA from 1 species